GUUAGUCGAGCGGAUGAAGGGAGCUUGCUCCUGGAUUCAGCGGCGGACGGGUGAGUAAUGCCUAGGAAUCUGCCUGGUAGUGGGGGAUAACGUCCGGAAACGGGCGCUAAUACCGCAUACGUCCUGAGGGAGAAAGUGGGGGAUCUUCGGACCUCACGCUAUCAGAUGAGCCUAGGUCGGAUUAGCUAGUUGGUGGGGUAACGGCCUACCAAGGCGACGAUCCGUAACUGGUCUGAGAGGAUGAUCAGUCACACUGGAACUGAGACACGGUCCAGACUCCUACGGGAGGCAGCAGUGGGGAAUAUUGGACAAUGGGCGAAAGCCUGAUCCAGCCAUGCCGCGUGUGUGAAGAAGGUCUUCGGAUUGUAAAGCACUUUAAGUUGGGAGGAAGGGCAGUAAGUUAAUACCUUGCUGUUUUGACGUUACCAACAGAAUAAGCACCGGCUAACUUCGUGCCAGCAGCCGCGGUAAUACGAAGGGUGCAAGCGUUAAUCGGAAUUACUGGGCGUAAAGCGCGCGUAGGUGGUUCAGCAAGUUGGAUGUGAAAUCCCCGGGCUCAACCUGGGAACUGCAUCCAAAACUACUGAGCUAGAGUACGGUAGAGGGUGGUGGAAUUUCCUGUGUAGCGGUGAAAUGCGUAGAUAUAGGAAGGAACACCAGUGGCGAAGGCGACCACCUGGACUGAUACUGACACUGAGGUGCGAAAGCGUGGGGAGCAAACAGGAUUAGAUACCCUGGUAGUCCACGCCGUAAACGAUGUCGACUAGCCGUUGGGAUCCUUGAGAUCUUAGUGGCGCAGCUAACGCGAUAAGUCGACCGCCUGGGGAGUACGGCCGCAAGGUUAAAACUCAAAUGAAUUGACGGGGGCCCGCACAAGCGGUGGAGCAUGUGGUUAAUUCGAAGCACGCGAAAACCUUACCUGGCCUUGACUGCUGAGACUUUCCAGAAUGGAUUGGUGCUUCGGGACUCAGACCAGGUGCUGCUGG
rnacentral:rRNA from 1 species